CCAAUAGCGUAUAUUAAAGUUGUUGCAGUUAAAAAGCUCGUAGUUGAAUUUCGAGAUCAAUACGUCGGUCGUGCCUCUGGUAUGUACUGGUGUUAUUGGUUUCUCCUUUCUGAGGAGCCAUGAUGCCAUUAAUUUGGUGUCGUGGGGAAUCAGGACUGUUACUUUGAAAAAAUUAGAGUGUUUAAAGCAGGCACACGCUUGAAUACAUUAGCAUGGAAUAAUGAAAUAGGACGUUCGAUUCUAUUUUGUUGGUUUCUAGGAUCAACGUAAUGAUUAAUAGGGAUAGUUGGGGGCAUUAGUAUUCAAUUGUCAGAGGUGAAAUUCUUGGAUUUAUUGAAGACUAACUACUGCGAAAGCAUUUGCCAAGGAUGUUUUCAUUAAUCAAGAACGAAAGUUAGGGGAUCGAAGACGAUCAGAUACCGUCGUAGUCUUAACCAUAAACUAUGCCGACCAGGGAUCGGAUGAUGUUAAUUUUUUAAUGACUCAUUCGGCGCCUUACG
rnacentral:rRNA from 1 species